UGGACCAUGAAGACCUCUGGCGACCAUGAGUCUUGGGAGUUGAGCAUAGCUCUGGGUGUCUGAUGUCCAU
rnacentral:snoRNA from 1 species